rnacentral:rRNA from 1 species
AGUGAACGCUGGCGGUAGGCCUAACACAUGCAAGUCGAACGGCAGCACAGUAAGAGCUUGCUCUUAUGGGUGGCUGGUGGCGGACGAGUAAGGAAUACAACGGAAUCUACUUUUACGUGGGGGAUACCGUAGGGAAACUUACGCUAGUACCGCAUACGACCUACGGCUGAAAGCAGGGGAUCUUCGGACCUUGCGCGAUUGGAUGAGCCGAUGUAGGAUUAGCUAGUUGGCGGGGUAAAGGCCAACCAAGGCGACGAUCCGUAGCUGGUCUGAGAGGAUGAUCAGGCACACUGGCACGAAGCGUAGCCCCAGACUCCUACGGCAGGCAGCAGUCGGGAAUAUUGGACCAUGCUCGCAAGCUUUAUCCAGCCCUACCGCGUGGGUGAAGAAGGCCUUCGGGUUGUAAAGCCCUCUUGUUGGGAAAGAAAAGCAGCAGGCUAACACCCCCCUGUGCUGCCGGUACCCAAAGAAUAAGCACCGGCUAACUUCGUG